rnacentral:misc_RNA from 1 species
GGAUGGAUCAUUACCAAAGCACAGUCUUGAGUGUUGUGUGAAUUAGUUUUUAGCUUGGUGGGUGGUUCCUUGCCUUGGUUUUUUGGCUGGGGCAAGGGAAAUCCCCAAGGAAUGCACGUAAAUUUGGUGAACCAGUGUCUCUUAGUAGGUUAUAUACAACACUAAAGACAACUUUUAGCAAUGGAUCUCUUGGCUCUCGCAACGAUGAAGAACGCAGCGAAAUGCGAUAAGUAAUGUGAAUUGCAAGCACCGUGAAUCAUUAAAUCUUUGAACGCACAUUGCACUGUUUGGAAUUCCGAACAGUAUGCCUGUUUGAGUAUCAGUAAACACUCUUGCCUUGCAGUCAGUUUUGACUGUGGGCGAGGAUCUGAGUGACUGUCUGUCUGUCGGUCGAGUGUUGCCUCAGCAAUGAGGGAACAAACGAACGAACGGGCAUCACUUUAAAUGCAUUGUCGUGCACCUUGGGUUAUUAACAUUCAAUUUUGACUGACAGAGUUGAUGGCUCCGGCCUUGGUCUGUCAAUGCCCAAUUGAAAGGGAAAUCCAGUAGGAACGCGACCAUUUAACCAAAGCAUCCUCCCUUCCCUGUGUGAAAGGGAUGCGAUUUUGAUCUCAAAUCAGGCAAGAUUACCCGCUGAACUUAAGCAUAUUAAUAAGCGGAGGAACAGAAACUAACAAGGAUUCCCUCAGUAAUGGCGAAUGAAGCGGGAACAGCUCAAAUUUAAAAUCUCUUGCGAGAAUUGUAGUUUGUAGAAGUGCUUUCGAUGGUUGGCUCAGGUAAAAGUUCCUUGGAAUGGGACAUCAUAGAGGGUGAGAAUCCCGUCCAUGACCUGGGUACCAGCCGCGAUGUGAUGCACUUUCAAAGAGUCAGGUUGUUUGGGAAUGCAGCCUAAAGUGGGUGGUAUAUUUCAUCUAAAGCUAAAUACAGGCGAGAGACCGAUAGCGAACAAGUACCGUGAGGGAAAGAUGAAAAGAACUUUGAAAAGAGAGUUAAACAGUACGUGAAAUUGCUAAAAGGGAAACGAUUGAAAUCAGUGUUGGCCCCACAAUACAGCCAGUCAGCAAUGGCUGGUUCACUUUUGUGGUUGGCCAGGUCAACAUCAGUUUGGAGCGAGGUAAAUUAGCCCUGGAAGGUUGCUGUUUCCUUGUGUGACAGUGUUAUAGCCAGGGUGACUGCCUCGGUCUGGACUGAGGAACGCAGUGCAUGCCUUUUUGGCUGGCGAAGCAGGUGCUAGUGGGUGGUUGUUUGGUAGCAGCGUGCUGAUGCUAGACAGACGUCCCGCUACCCACUUGUGGAGUACAAAUGUGCUUAGGAUGUUGACGAAAUGGUUUUAAACGACCCGUCUUGAAACACGGACCAAGGAGUCUAACACAUGUGCGAGUGUUUGGGUAGAAAGCCCGGACGCGUAAUGAAAGUGAAUGCAGGUGGGAUUCCCUUCAACAAGGAAGCACCAUUGACCGGUCUGGACUCUUUUGAUGAUAGAUCUGAGUAAGAGCAUAUCUGUUGGGACCCGAAAGAUGGUGAACUAUGCCUGAAUAGGGCGAAGCCAGAGGAAACUCUGGUGGAGGCUCGUAGCGGUACUGACGUGCAAAUCGUUCGUCAAAUUUGGGUAUAGGGGCGAAAGACUAAUCGAACCAUCUAGUAGCUGGUUCCCUC